CCCUAUUCCAGAGCCACCCUCCGUCACUGAUAGGCAGAGUUACAAGGUCAGACAUCACUUGCUGAAUGCAGUUUACAGGGUGCGGUGGGAAUCAUGCUGCCGGAGAAGGAAAGUGCAAGAAGCGCCUAUCUUCGGGUUGGGUACAUGAAAAAUUGAUGCAGUUUACUUUAACUCAAGUGAAAGUCUACUCUUUUCGAAAGGAGGAAACAAACGCAUGAGGGAGUUUCAGCAGUGCUCAAGCAUCAAAUUAAGGCCCUACAAGAAGACAUCCGUGUAUGCCAGUCAAGGCUCACCUUCAAAGGCCCCUGAGUACUGCUAUAGAAGCCAUUUUGUUUGAGACUACAAAGGAAAACAGGUUUAUAAGAGGAAGACUUUAAAAAAAAAAGUAGAGAGACAGACAUUCCUUUUCAAGUCCAAUUUUCCCUUGCUACUGUAUAUUGCCACAUAUCAUUCCGACGAGCGCGCUGCUUUAAAGCUACUCAACAGGGUUCCCGCCGAAGAUCCGGAUCAAGUUUUUAAUGAGCCCCGUCAUUCUUGCGCUGCUGUCACAGGUGUGAAUCUGCUGAUGCCGGAGCUCUGCGGGGCUUAACACGGGCCUUACCCAGUCAAUUAAGGAGUAUAAGAAACGCAGCGGCAAAGGGACGUGUCUUCCAAACACGCGCCCAGUAACAAGACAACAGUCACAUCAUGGAAGAUGAGGAGAAUUAAGGAUGCUGACCUCUGCUCGUGUUUGCAGCAUGAAAAUGAAUCAAAUGGAUUGAGCCUGUACUGCAGUCCUCUAAGUAGAGUGCUUGGAGACCUUGCCUUUAUUGCAUGUAAACAAGUGUGAAGAGCCCUAUAAAUAUAUGUCCUCACUCCAA